UGGGAUUGCUGGGUGAUAUGGUAAAUGGAUGUUAAACUUUAUAAGAAACUGUUUCUGUUGCCCAAAGUGGCUGUACCAUUUGCAUUCCCACCAGCAAU
rnacentral:pre_miRNA from 1 species